CAGCCGCCACGGUAAUACGGAGGGAGCUAGCGUUAUUCGGAAUUACUGGGCGUAAAGCGCACGUAGGCGGCUUUGUAAGUUAGAGGUGAAAGCCUGGAGCUCAACUCCAGAAUUGCCCUUAAGACUGCAUCGCUUGAAUCCAGGAGAGGUGAGUGGAAUUCCGAGUGUAGAGGUGAAAUUCGUAGAUAUUCGGAAGAACACCAGUGGCGAAGGCGGCUCACUGGACUGGUAUUGACGCUGAGGUGCGAAAGCGUGGGGAGCAAACAGGAUUAGAUACCCCUGUAGUCCCUGUCUCUUAUAC
rnacentral:rRNA from 1 species